rnacentral:misc_RNA from 1 species
AAGGUGGUCGUACUGGAAAGUGUGGCUAGAUCAUAUCCUUUCUAAGAGGAAGAUAAAUCAAAACUAAUUUUAUUUACUUUUCUCUAUAUUUUUAUUUUGAUGAAAAAGCUUUUGAAUUCAAAGUAAAUUUUUAGUUUAACCUUUAGAAAAAAUAAAUCUUUAGAAAGUGUUUAGUAUUAUACAGUUUCAUAUUAAAUUAAACGUUGUUAAUAGUAAACAUAAUUUUAGAUUUUGAGUUGAAAGUUUUUUAUAUUGCUAAAUAUGUAUUUUAAAUCUAAUAGAACGGCAAUUUCAAUUUUAAAAAUUGAAAUUGCAUUGUAAAUAUACCCUAACAUCGAAAUUGACAAAUGUUUUAUUUUUAUUGUUCAUC